CCUACGGGAGGCAGCAGUGAGGAAUAUUGGUCAAUGGGCUUACGCCUGAACCAGCCAAGUCGCGUGAGGGAAGACUGCCCUAUGGGUUGUAAACCUCUUUUGUCAGGGAGCAACGCCGGCUACGUGUAGCCGGACUGAGAGUACCUGAAGAAAAAGCAUCGGCUAACUCCGUGCCAGCAGCCGCGGUAAUACGGAGGAUGCGAGCGUUAUCCGGAUUGAUUGGGUUGAAAGGGUGCGUAGGCGGAAUGCCAAGUCAGCGGUAAAAUCGCGGGGCUCAACCUCGCUCCGCCGUUGAAACUGGCGUUCUUGAGUGGGCGAGAAGUAUGCGGAAUGCGUGGUGUAGCGGUGAAAUGCAGAGAUAUCACGCAGAACUCCGAUUGCGAAGGCAGCAUACCGGCGCCCAACUGACGCUGAAGCACGAAAGCGUGGGUAUCGAACAGGAUUAGAUACCCGUGUAGUC
rnacentral:rRNA from 1 species